rnacentral:rRNA from 1 species
CAGCCGCCACGGGAAUACGUAGGGUGCAAGCGUUAAUCGGAAUUGCUGGGCGUAAAGCGUGCGCAGGCGGUUUGUUAAGACAGAUGUGAAAUCCCCGGGCUCAACCUGGGAACUGCAUUUGUGACUGGCAAGCUAGAGUAUGGCAGAGGGGGGUGGAAUUCCGCGUGUAGCAGUGAAAUGCGUAGAUAUGCGGAGGAACACCGAUGGCGAAGGCAGCCCCCUGGGCCAAUACUGACGCUCAUGCACGAAAGCGUGGGGAGCAAACAGGAUUAGAUACCCCUGUAGUCCCUGUCUCUUAUAA